UCUGAGAAGCUAAAUUAGUGCGCAGCCAAAAAAUGUUUUGGUCACGUCCAUUUUCUAUUAAGAACCAUUGGCGACGACCUAAAAGGAAUGUCAGUGUAAAAUCGUUCAGUAGUGACUGCUCACAGUUAACAGAGUUCCUCACGAAGGUUUACCUUGUUGAAAGCACGGCGGCGAACAGUGGGAAAUGGUAGUGCGCAGCGAACAAAAAUGGCUGCUGACGAGGAAGACACCAAGACUAGAGAACAAUCAAUCGUCCUCCCCAGCGCUCGUCCCCACCCUCGUUUUAGGCCGCUGAGUUUGCGUUCGGGCCCAAGCACACACAAGAGAGGAGUGGACGCAGGCAGUUUCAUGAAGGAACCCUGCCACACUACACUGGUGUCAGAAUAGCAGAUGGAGCUUGAAGAGCUUUGAAGAGAUCGAAGAAUACAUCACCAAACGAGACACAAGACCAAGGACGCAAGCCGAGGACGCAAGACCAAGGACGCAAGACCAAGGACGCAAGCCGAGGACGCAAGACCAAGGACGCAAGACCAAGGACGCAAGCCGAGGACGCAAGACCAAGGAUGUAAGCCGGGGACCCGAGCAGUUUGCCGUCCCUGCAGUCACAGAUGUGCAGGGAGGAAACGCGAUGUUGGGCUCUCCGGGAACCGAGCGUCGCCUUCCCGGACUCCCCCGACGGAGCAGGCGGACCCAGGCUUCCGUACCAGGGGCACGCUGAGAUCGGCAACGCCCGGGAUCCAGCAGCCCAGAGGGAGCGGAGAGAAGCGCCGCCAGCUGACCCAGUGGCCCUGAGGCCGCUGAGCAGCAGAACGGAGGCAGGUGAGGCACUGGCACCGACACCUGGCGGAGUGCCACCGCGCUUUACCUGAGCAGAGCCGCUGGAGCCCUCCCGAUCCUCCUCCACCUCGGCCCCGCAGAGAUGCAGCUACCCAGCCCUCGAAUGGCGCUUCGGGCAGUGAGCCGAGGCCUUUUCCGGAGCGGACACGGGAUAAGCUGACCAGCCGGAGAGAGGGAGAAAGCCUGAGCUCAUUCGCGGCUGACAUCCGGUUUUACGUGCGGCGGGGCUGCCCUGAGUUCCAUGCUGCAGCCCCAGAACUGCUGGCUCUCCGCUCGUUCCUACAAGCCAUCACACUGGAGCAGCUAAAGCAGCGCGUUCAACUCAUCGUCUGCCAGACCCAACCAGCAGCGGCACCAUCAGCCAAGGUGCGCCAACCCCCAAGCACAACCAAGGGGACCGCCCAAUGAGGGGACCGCCCAAUGAGGGGACCGCCGCUCCAAGACUCCGCCCCCCUCCUCGGCCAAUCAGAGGGACUCUUAUCUCCACUGCCUACUCGACGGGCACCCCUGUCGAGCCCUAGUGGACACAGGUUCCACCAUCUCCAUCAUCCAGCCUGGCGUGCUCCAUCAUCCAGCACCAUGGGCACAGCUCUGCCUGGCUGGGCCUCCUCACGACCACCCUGAGAUGAGAGCGGCUCAAGCUGUUGUGCGUCAGGGUGGCAGCGAGCAAACCUGCUAUGACCUGCCGGCUAGCUAACAUCCAAGACCCUUGCAUCAUAGGGUUAUACCUGUUAGACCAGCAUCCAGCUACACCCUCACUGGCUCGCGCUAGCAGCUGGCAGAACAGAAGAUCCAAGAGAUGACGGCAGCAGGCGUCAUCGAGCCCUCUUAACAGCCCCUGGGCAGGCCUGGCCGUACCCGUGGCCAUGAAAGACGGUACCUGGCAUUUCUGUGUCGACUACCGAAGUCUCAAUGUCAAUGCCUUGUCCUAGCAAAAGUCUCUGAUGUAGACCCGGGGGGCGAAUAGUGGUGUUACAUCGGGACCAGCUAGCCCCCUACCGACCACUGAUGGAGACAGUGGCUCAGGAGGUUGAGACGUCCACCUCCCUGGUCAAGGGCCCGGGGACCCCUCCCGACUCACCCCUCAACGCAGACCUGGUGAGUGCAGCCUCCCCAUUCACCGGAGACUCUGUGGCCAUCGGGUACGACUGGCCCCUUGGAAGUUCAGGAGGACAAGCUGGCCCACCAGGGGUCUCCUGGUGUGCCUCAGCUCGCCAAGAUAGCCACUUCUGAGUUGGCAAACUAACAUUAUGAAAUGUGUAAGUGCUGUUGCCUAAAAUAACUGCUAGGAAAGGGGUUAGUUAACUAGCGAACAAUGUUAACACGUAAGAAAACCUGCAUGUGUGUUACCGUGUAAUGUUACCCUGCAUGGAGCCGCCAUUUAAAAUUUGUAUGUUUUGAAACCUCACCACUGAUCACGUGU